UUGGACCUGAUAUCAA
rnacentral:rRNA from 9 species